UAGUUGGUGAGGUAAUGGCUCACCAAGGCUAUGACGCAUAACUGGUCUGAGAGGAUGAUCAGUCACACUGGAACUGAGACACGGUCCAGACUCCUACGGGAGGCAGCAGUAGGGAAUAUUGCUCAAUGGGGGAAACCCUGAAGCAGCAACGCCGCGUGGAGGAUGACACUUUUCGGAGCGUAAACUCCUUUUGUUAGGGAAGAAUAAUGACGGUACCUAACGAAUAAGCACCGGCUAACUCCGUGCCAGCAGCCGCGGUAAUACGGAGGGUGCAAGCGUUACUCGGAAUCACCGGGCGUAAAGGACGCGUAGGCGGAUUAUCAAGUCUUUUGUGAAAUCUAAUGGCUCAACCAUUAAACUGC
rnacentral:rRNA from 1 species